GGGCAGCAACCCUCCAACCACAGAUGCUAGAAGGGCAGGCGGGCCCUGGACACUGAGCAGACCAGGUCCCCUCUCAGCCUCCAGGUCUCAGGAGGGCUCCUGCACUGUCACUGCCCACUCCUCCUCACCUCUGCCCCCAAAAGACACAGGAAGAGCCCUUAAGAAAAAUCAAGAGGUCUCCUCCCCAGACUCCAGAGCCUUGUACUCAGAGGGUCACAAAUACGAGGCAUGGAGAGGAAGAGGGGCUUGCAGAAAGGUCAGGCUGGCAUCAGGCUGGGAAGGCUCCAAUGGAAAGGAAGGAGUCAAAGGGAACACUGACGGCAGCGGCGAGAGGGUCAGCCGUGUGGGCUCCGGGUCAGCUUGCCCGACUCUUGCAACUGGAGGUAAGUAUGAGCACCCUCCUCUGCAGAGGUGGGACUCAGGGAACAGCUGGCAGAGGCCAGGGCGCUCACCCACAGCCUAGCAUCCUUACAAGAGGCGGUGAGAGUUGUCAGCCUGCUCAGCCCCACACACUGGAUGCUUCUGCAGGCCCUGAUGGGCGCCCCCUGCAGCCUGGUACUCUCUCAACUGGCCUGCCUCACAGCAGGACCUUUUGCAUGAGGCCUCUGCUGAAGAAGAGCUGUCUCAGUGGGGGUUGUCCUAACCAGAGACCCUGGUUGCCCUGUGGCUAAAGCCCAAGAGUGCUGGACGGGCACAGGCCCAGCCCAGAGCCCAACACACGAUGAGGCCACGCCCACAUGGAUGGGAGUGCCAUUGUGUACCACCCUGGGACAAGUGCACUCACCUUCUUCCAGGUCAUUUCGGGCAGCAGCUUCCAGAAGGACAACGCUGGGAGGGAAGACAACUUGCUUCGGGGGCCCUCGGCCAGCUGCCUCCUUCUGCAGCUGCCUCCACUUGCCUUUUUUGGCCUGGGCCUCCUUCUCAGCCUGGGCCCAGAUCUUCACCUGCUGGGCACGCCGCUUCUGGGCAUGCUUCAGCCGCUCCUGGGUGCUCAUCUUGCCCACCAUGGGCAUCUCUGCCAGUAGUUCCAGGUGCUCAGCCAUGGUCGGGGGUGUCUACCCACAGGGCUGCUUGGGGUACCACAGUGCAGGGGAUGGGGGUCAGACCAGGCUUGAGUGGCAGAGCAGCUGGCUGGACUGACACCUCUGAGGGCAUUCCCUUCCUGAGGCUUGUGCCCUUGGCCCCUGGCGAGGCUGUGAUCAGGCCCAGGCAGCCCUGAGGGGCACAGCCCAAGAAGGAAGGGCGUGUAAGGAUACCACAGCUGGUCCCACGCAGGCCUGGCCCCUUGGUUGCUCAGAUAGCAGGGUCUCUACACAGGCAGCACCUCACUUCCCUUUUGAGAUCAGGGUACACCUAUUGUGGGACGUAGCCCUAAGACCUGGCUGGACUCAGUCCAGGGUCUGAAGCUAAUUACCCAGAUAACAAAGCUCUAGCUUCCUGGUACCUUGCCAAGGGAGAGGGAGGGCAGGGCCAAUCCACAGUGGGCCCUGAGAGCCCCUUGGAGCUUCUGCUCUUUCUAGGCCUCAGGAGCCUGGCUGGGGUCAAGGAGCAGUCAUGGCCUGGCCCUGCCUGCACCCUCCUGAUGGUGCUCCAGUCGGCACAGCAGGACCAAUGAGGUGGGCCACAUAAGGUCAGCCCUAGGCAGCCAGGGUACAGAGGACACAAGGCGCCUGUCAGUGUGUCUUCAGGGGAGCCUCCCCUUUUGGCAGCCACAUACACCUGAAGAGCAAAUAAGGAAGCACAUCAAGGCCAGCUCAGAGGGUGGGGCAGAGAGGCUCUGGUGAGACCACUCCCGGCCACCCUGGGGUCCUGCCUUGUGUGGGGCCACCUUCUACCUGUGGAACACAGUGCAGGGCAAUGAUCCUUGGGGGGCUGCUCAGCUCUCACACUUAGGAAAGGCAGGAUGAAGGGCACCUCAGGCUCCCUACCCACCCUCUGCAGGAUGCCCAGGCACACCGCUGGGAGCAGAGUCAGGAGCACUGCCCACAGGCAGCCAUCCCUGUGUGCUGUGUGGGCAAAGUCUGCCCUGAGUCCCUGCUUCACGCCCUGCCUCCUUGAUCUUGGCCAGUGAUGAGCUCCCCAGCCCCUCACUCUACCAAAUGCUCCUGCUCCUUGCCAGGCUCCCUGACCGGGCCAGCCAACACUCCAACCACCCUGGGAACCUGGGCUGUAUGGUUACAGGCACAGGUGACCGACCUGGCUGGAGGUCUACAGGGACCAACAGGCAAACAGCUUAGGCUGUAAGCUGAGAGGUACAACCUUGCUGGAGUGCCCAUCUUGGCCCCUUUCCUCGCAAGCCAUGGUCACCCACUGCUCUGUUCCUCAGAAGGAACAGUCACACACUGCCCAGAAUCCUAUUCUCCACACAGCCAGGCCUCUCGGCAACCUAGACACUAACCCCAUUUCCCCCUAGCCAAGGGUCUCAACAAACACCCCUUUUGCCUUGAAGGGGACUGCGACGCCAGAUGCCGCUAGGCUGGCCAGGUCCCUUCUGACAGGUCUGACCUGGUAGAGUUAGCCCCUGUGAGCUUGGUCUGAGUUUCCUAGGGGCAGAACCAGUAGGGCCCUUAGCCCUGGACUGGUGUGCUCUCCGUAGGUCAAGAGGUUUCCCAACAGAACUCUGCUGUGAGCAGCCUGCUCCAAAGUUGGCCACCACUGCAGACUGCUAGGGCCAGGGCUGACGUAAACCAGCCCAACACCCUGCCCAGACUCCCCAGUCCUGCUGUCACCCUCUCAGGUCCAUCAUCCCUACUCAAGACAACCAGGCUGGGUUCUGCAGGUACCCUGCUAGCUCCUCCAGCAUAAGGACAAGGAUUCCAGACCCUGCCAUGUGACAGAGUCCUCCCUGCUGCCACCCAUGGUAGAUAUCCUCCUCCCCAACAGGGCUGACAAGGUGGGACCUGCAUCUCUCUGUCAUCAGGAUUCUGUCAGGGAAGUGGCCCCAGUCUGCCCCAAGAGGUCACAGCAAAGAGGGAGGCCCACUGCCCUGCCUGCCCCAUCUCUGUCCAAUGAAGGUAAAGAAAAUGAUACAAGACCACCUGAUCAAAUAGCCACACCCACCCCAUCACUGGGUAGAAAGAUAUAUAUAUAUAUUUUUUUGCACUGGCAAAAUUGAACCCAGGGGUGCUUAACCACUGAGCCACAUCCCCAGCCCUUUUCAUGUUUUAUUUUGAGACAAAAUCUUGCUAAAUUACUUAGGGCUUCACUAAGUUGCUGAGGCUGGCUUUGAAAUUGCAAUUCUCCUGCCUCAGCCUACCAAGCUGCUGGGAUUACAGGCAUGUGCCACCAAGCCUGGCUGAUAUAAAGAUGUCUGAUGCUUUUGUCCUACAGAAGAAAAAUAAUCUGAGGACAGCAACCACUUUCUCUUGUGUGUGUGUGUAUUGGACUAGGGACUGAACCCAGGGGCUCUCUAACACUGAGCUGUACCCCAAUCCUUUAAAUAAAUAAGUAAAUAAAUAUUUA